rnacentral:rRNA from 1 species
CCUACGGGAGGCAGCAGUGGGGAAUAUUGGACAAUGGACCACAAGUCUGAUCCAGCAAUUCUGUGUGCACGAUGACGUUUUUCGGAAUGUAAAGUGCUUUCAGUCGGGAAGAAGUCAGUGACGGUACCGACAGAAGAAGCGACGGCUAAAUACGUGCCAGCAGCCGCGGUAAUA